rnacentral:ncRNA from 1 species
UCAAUGGAGAGUUUGAUCCUGGCUCAGGACGAACGCUGGCGGCGUGCUUUAUACAUGCAAGUCGAACGAUGAAGUUCCUUCGGGAAUGGAUUAGUGGCGAACGGGUGAGGAACACGUGAGAAACCUGCCUUUCAUUCUGGGAUAACACCGGGAAACCGGUGCUAAUACCGGAUACUCCAUCUUGGCGGCAUCGCCGAGCUGGGAAAAAAUUUUGAUGAAAGAUGGUCUCGCGGCCUAUCAGCUAGUUGGUGAGGUAAAGGCUCACCAAGGCGACGACGGGUAGCCGGCCUGAGAGGGCGACCGGCCACACUGGGACUGAGACACGGCCCAGACUCCUACGGGAGGCAGCAGUAGGGAAUAUUGGGCAAUGGGCGAAAGCCUGACCCAGCGACGCCGCGUGAGGGAUGAAGGUCUUCGGAUUGUAAACCUCUUUCAGUAGGGAAGAAGCGAAAGUGACGGUACCUAAAGAAGAAGCACCGGCUAACUAUGUGCCAGCAGCCGCGGUAAUACAUAGGGUGCAAGCGUUGUCCGGAAUUAUUGGGCGUAAAGAGCUCGUAGGUCGUUUG